GUGUCACGCAGCUCAAAUGCAAACGCGUAGGGGAUGCCGUUCUUGUAGGCCCAGUCCAUAGAGCUACCUGAACUCACAUCUGAGAGAGGGAAUCAAAAGAAGAUUAAAAAACCCAGGUUAAAUGCAGGUCAUGUUGAAAGCACCAGAGGGUUCAUGUGGUGUUUUGUCUCCAGGACUCGGUGAGUAUACUUGCAACUCCAGCUUUUUGCUUGCCCUGAUCCUAAACACCCUUCAGAGAAGGGCAUGGGUACCCAGCACCAGUGAAAGGUGCUCAGCACAAUAUGGAUUAGACCCUUGAUUUUCACAGGAGAAGAAUUAAUAACUGACUUUUUUGUGUGUAAAGCAAAACUUUAAUAAAAGAGAACAUAUAGAAUAAAGCCUCAUUUUUUUCUUGUUCCCAGGCAAAUAAAACUUUGCUUCCACAAAGAUCUUCCAGCUGGAUGGGAGCUCUGCAUACUCCUAGGUUUAACUUGGGCAAUUCCUUUGCAGGGAGAAAGGAGAAAUCUGAUAAUCUACAUUCUCCUUUUCAAAGCGCUUCUAAAAUUAUUUUCUCUUAAUUUCUGCCUUCUCACUGUUUCCUUACAGCAUAAGAGCAUUUGCAUAGGUGGUGUCUAAUAUUAACAAACCUUCCCAAGGAAGUGUGCUUCUUAUGCUUUCCUUAUCUCCAUAUGUUGAUUACCCAAGACACUUAUAUUUAUAUAAAGAUCCAUCUCUCAUGUGGCCUGCUGUCUUCUGUGCAAUUCUGGCAUUAAUUCACACUGCUCUUCCUUUUACAUAGUGACUGACUGCACCGUAAUGAGCACAAGAUGCCAACUGUGCUGUGAGAUAGAGGCCCACAAUAAAGCGGAACUCACAUCUGAGACACAAAACACAGCAACAGCAGAGGAGAUGCAAGAGGUCUGUGCUCCACUCUAAUGAGAAGCCUGAUCCAAGGUCUCUCAAACCUAGGAAACACCUACUACACAUCAAAAACUCAAUUCCUUGGGUCUAAAAGCUGUGCAUGGAAAGAUAGAGUGUGCUGAGGGCCAGCUACUCCCUUUUGCAGGAUGGAAAUAACCCUUGAGCAACAAGAACAACAUGUACUGAAGAUUUACUGGCAUGUGUGAAAACUCUCAGUUAGAGACUCCUUUUCCUUACAAUGACAGUGUUUGCUGUUGCCUUACGUUACUCUGGAUAUUUUCAUCAUCUACUUGCAGGGAAGAUGCUAAUUCUUCCUAAUACCAUGUCUUUACCUUCUGCUGUGUUGUCCAUUCUUAAAACAAUAUUCUUGCACCUCCUCGUACAAGGAACAAGAUCCUGUGGUUUUAAAUUCCCAGUCUAUGUUUACUGGUACUUGCAAAAUGGCUCUGAAGACUUUGUAAGAGAACUGUUCAUUCCAGCUAUGCUGGUGACUGUCUCCUGAAGAGUGUGUGUCCCCCAAAUACCUGCAGCAGUGACUUUACACAUGUAAGUAAAAGAUGGUAAUGGCAAUUCAGACUUUGGUGCAUUUUUACAUUAUUUUUGCAGCAUAAAAUUGCCUUAAAGAUCAUGUUAGCAUCCCUGGGACUGGCUUGUGUCAUGGAGGGGUUCUCAGCUAACAUAGGCUUUCUGUAAUUGCUUCUGUGUCAGUCCUCUCCCAACUGCAAGCAGACCUGAAAAAAACCUGGAAGCAUAUUUCACAGGUCCGUACUGUAUUGAAUAUAUGCUUUUGUUCACUCUCACCUCAUUUGUAAUCUCCCCUGGCAGAGUACUCACACUCACUUUUAUCCUUACAGUACUGCUUAAAGAAUCUAGUUGAUGCAAGCCAGACUGUACAGUGCUUACUCCUACUGCAAGUAAUCAGAGUAUUGAGGAAACCUUUAGGGACUUUCAGUGAAAGAAGGAUAGGCUGAAGGGAGUGCUAGCUCUAUGCAAACAUUAGUUCUGUCUUUACAAGUUUGUAGUAUAAAUAAGGAAGGUGGAUGAAUGCUGGAGGAGGAAACAGCUGAGCAGAGAGUUGAAGGAAGGUGCUCAAGAUGGGGGAGCAGGUCAUCAGAAGUACCAGGUGUGUGUAUCACCAUAGUUCACAAGAAAGUGCCAUGACUCUCUGCUGCACCAGAACUUGUACGUCUGCUUACUCCUGUGUAAGUUGUACUGGCUUGCUGUAAGAUUUAAUAAAAAACCUUUUCCUCUUCAGUGGACCCAUUCUAAAUCCUCUGCUGGUAUCACAUUACUGCUGAAUCCUCUAUGCACAAUUGAAGUCAAUUUUUAUGAAGGUAUUUACAGAAGU